ACAAUGUAAGUCAAUGGGGAUGGAUACGUUUUCUCUGACACAAUCUGACACAAUAGAAAACGUAUCGGUCCCCCAUUGACUUUCAAUGGUGUUCAUGACGGAUCCGUCAUGGCUAGAUAAGACAUAAUGCAACCAGAUCAGUUCAUGACGGAUGUAUGCGGUUGUAUUAUUGUAACGGAAGCUAAUGUGAAAGUAGCCUUA